rnacentral:rRNA from 1 species
CUAACCUACGGGGCGCAGCAGUGGGGAAUAUUGCACAAUGGGGGAAACCCUGAUGCAGCGACGCCGCGUGAGUGAAGAAGUAAUUCGUUACGUAAAGCUCUAUCAGCAGGGAAGAAAUACUGACCUUACGGUCAGCAGACGGUACCUGAGUAAGAAGCCCCGGCUAACUACGUGCCAGCAGCCGCGGUAAUACGUAGGGGGCAAGCGUUAUCCGGAUUUAUUGGGUUUAAAGGGUGCGCAGGCGGUCUGUUAAGUCAGCGGUCAAAGCCCGGGGCUCAACCCCGGCCCGCCGUUGAAACUGGCAG